CUACGGGUGGCAGCAGUCGAGGAAAUUUUACAAUGCUCGCAAGAGUGAUAAAAUAAGCCAGAGUGUUUCUCCUAGAGAAACUUUUAUUUGCUGUAAAAAGGCAAAGGAAUAAGGACUGGGCAAGACCGGUGCCAGCCGCCGCGGUAAUACCGGCGGUCCAAGUCGCAUCCACAUUUAUUGAGUCUAAAACAUUCGUAGCUUGUUUUAUAAGUCUCUUGUGAAAUCCUAUAUCUCAAGUAUAGGGCGUGCAAGAGAUACUAUAUUACUAGAGACCGGAAGACGCAAAGAGUAUGGUUGAGGUAGCGGUAAAAUGUGUUAAUCUCAAUUAGACUAACAAUGGCGAAGGCACUUUGCGAGUACAGAUCUGACAGUGAGGGAUGAAGGCUAGGGGCGCAAAAGGGAUUAGAUACCCCUGUAGUC
rnacentral:rRNA from 1 species